rnacentral:rRNA from 1 species
GCCGAACCGUGCGAACGUUAUUCGGAAUCAUUGGGCUUAAAGGGUGCGUAGGCGGCGCUGUAAGUUGAAGGUGAAAUCCCAUCGGCUCAACCGUGGAAUUGCCUCCAAUACUGCAGUGCUUGAGGGAGGUAGGGGCACGCGGAACUUCCGGUGGAGCGGUGAAAUGUGUUGAUAUCGGAGGGAACGCCAGUGGCGAAAGCGGCGUGCUGGAUCUCUUCUGACGCUGAGGCGCGAAAGCCAGGGGAGAAAACGGG